AUUCGGAGAGUAUGAAACUUUUCGAAGAUAUUAUUAAACCUUUUAUGCAUAAAGAUUACGCAUAUAAAAUUAGAAAUUGUCAAGGCCAGCAGCAGCGGUAAUACGAGUGCCUCGAGCGUUAUCCGGAAUUAUUGGGCGUAAAGGGUGUGUAGGCGGCUUUGGCCCGAUGUAAGAGUCGGGCUCCCGAUACCGUAAGGUCGUCGGGAUUAGUCCUUGGUCAAAUUCUUCGGCUUAACCGGGGGUCCGCCAAGGAAACGGCAAAGCUUGAGGGUGCGAGAGGUGAAUGGAACUCAUGGUGUAGGGGUGAAAUCCGUUGAUAUCAUGGGGAACACCAAAAGCGAAGGCAAUUCACUGGCGCACUCCUGACGCUGAAACACGAAAGCCAGGGGAGUGAAGCGGAUUAGAUACCCGCGUAAUCCUGGCCCUAAACGAUGAUCACUAGCUUUUCGGAGUAUCGACCUUCUGAGAGGCGAAGCUAACGCGUUAAGUGAUCCGCCUGGGUAGUACGGCCGCAAGGCUAAAACUCAAAGGAAUAGACGGGGACUUGCACAAGCGGUGGUCCAUGUGGUUCAAUUCGACGGUAAACGAAGAACCUUACCAGGGUUAGAAAUCCAGACGAAGGCAGGCAGAAACGUCUGUCGUCUCACAAGGACGGCUGGACAGGUGCUGCAUGGCUGUCGUCAGUUCGUGAUUUGAACUUAAUUCGAAUCCUUCUCGAGUAAUCGAGUCGAAAAAUCCAACUCAUAACGGGGGAACCCUAAAUGUAGUCAUGAUAUAAUUAUGAUUAUAUGGGUAAUCCCGUGGGAAGUUUGGAAGUUCCAAUAGUGCUUCAUGCUAGAAAAAGAAUUUUUCUCUCAUUGUCUUCAAGACAAAGAGAUAUUCUUAUCGGUAGCGUGUUAGGUGAUGCCUACAUUGCUCCUUGGGGAAAAAUUCGUAUAGAACACUCCGUAAAACAAAGUGAAUAUGUAUACUGGAAAUAUGCUGAAUUAAAAUCUCUUUGUUAUGCGGGAGUACCAAGAGAAAUUACUCAUGUGUAUUGUGUGUGUAUUGUGGAAAAAGUUAUCGGUCAAUAUUUCUUCAGUUUCGGCAAUUCUUUCGACCGUGGCGUUUGUUGCUGUCUCCCUUGUCGCUGGCAGUAUGGUAUAUGGAUGAUGGUUGCUGGACAGGAAAGAAAAUCGUUAUUUCCACGGAGAGUUUUAAAGGCGAAAGCAUAAAAACUCUUCAAGACACAUUGUUGAGCCGGUUUAAUCUUGAUACUGUUGUCGGUAAAAAUGGGAAAUUGGUGAUAAGGAAAAAGUCACAUAUAACUUUUUGUCAUAUUGUCGCCAAGCAUAUUAUCCCAAGCAUGAAAUAUAAACUUCCAAACCCCGUAACGACUUGAUCUGUAAAAGAUCGGAGUAAGAAUCUCAUAUUCUUGCUAAAUGUUGGCCCCUAAUCCCAAUGUUACAUUGGGAUGGGUGAAGGUAUAGUCUAGCUUCUUAAGAAAUUUAGAAGGUUAAGGAAUUGUUCCCUUCAGUGGGGUAACGAACGCAACCCUCGUUGUCUGUUAUAAGUGUCAGACGAUACUGCCCCGCCCAAAGUCCGCAGGACUUUGGGAAAUUCCAAGUCACAAAUUCCAAAUUACAAACAAUAAUUAAUUUCCAACUUUCAAAUUUUAACAUUCGGAUUUUGGUUAUUGAGGUUUGUUUGGAGCUUGGAAAUUAAAAUUUGGGAUUUACCCGCUUUGCGGGUUUUGGGCGGGGAGGAAGGCGAGGAUGACGCCAAGUCAGCAUGGCCCUCUGAUAUCCUGGGCUACACACGUGGAACAAUCGCUGCUACAACGGGUUGCGACGGGGAAAAACCCUGAGCCAAUCCUUAUAAAAGCAGCGCCAGUUCGGAUUGAGGUCUGAAACUCGACCUCAUGAAGUAGGAAUCGCUAGUAAUCGCGGGUCAGCUAUACCGCGGUGAAUACGUUCUCAAGUCUUGUACUCGGGUCGCCAUGC
rfam:Candidatus Taylorbacteria bacterium RIFCSPLOWO2_12_FTLL_44_15c rifcsplowo2_12_scaffold_6304, whole genome shotgun sequence.